rnacentral:rRNA from 1 species
CAUGCAAGUCGAACGAGAUCUUCGGAUCUAGCGGCGGACGGGUGAGUAACGCGUGAGAAUCUGCCCAUUUGUGGGGGAUAACUUGGGGAAACCCAAGCUAAUACCGCAUAAUCCCUACGGGGGAAAGCAGGGGACCUUCGGGCCUUGUGCAGAUGGAUGAGCUCGCGUCGGAUUAGCUAGUUGGUGGGGUAAAGGCCUACCAAGGCGACGAUCCGUAGCUGGUCUGAGAGGAUGAUCAGCCACACCGGGACUGAGACACGGCCCGGACUCCUACGGGAGGCAGCAGUGGGGAAUCUUGGACAAUGGGGGCAACCCUGAUCCAGCCAUGCCGCGUGUGUGAAGAAGGCCCUAGGGUUGUAAAGCACUUUCAGUAGGGAGGAAGGCUUCGGGUUAAUACCUUGGAGUACUUGACGUUACCUACAGAAGAAGCACCGGCUAAUUUCGUGCCAGCAGCCGCGGUAAUACGAAAGGUGCGAGCGUUAAUCGGAAUUACUGGGCGUAAAGCGCGCGUAGGCGGUUUGUUAAGUCAGAUGUGAAAGCCCCGGGCUCAACCUGGGAAUUGCAUUUGAAACUGGCAAGCUAGAAUGCAGUAGAGGGAGGUGGAAUUUCCGGUGUAGCGGUGAAAUGCGUAGAGAUCGGAAGGAACACCAGUGGCGAAGGCGGCCUCCUGGACUGACAUUGACGCUGAGGUGCGAAAGCGUGGGGGAGCAAACAGGAUUAGAUACCCUGGUAGUCCACGCCGUAAACGAUGUCUACUAGUCGUUGGGAAUCUUAGUAUUCUUGGUGACGAAGUUAACGCGAUAAGUAGACCGCCUGGGGAGUACGGCGGCAAGGUUAAAACUCAAAUGAAUUGACGGGGGCCCGCACAAGCGGUGGGAGCAUGUGGUUUAAUUCGAUGCAACGCGAAGAACCUUACCAGGCCUUGACAUCCUUGGAACUUUCUAGAGAUAGAUUGGUGGCUUCGGGAGCAGUGACAGGUGCUGCAUGGCUGUCGUCAGCUCGUGUCGUGAGAUGUGGGUAGGUCCCGGUACGAGCGGCAACCCUUGUCCUAGUGGCCAGCACUUCGGGUGGGACUCUAAGAGAU